UCACAAAUUCAACGUUGUAAACCAUUUGCUCUGAUAGGGUUUUGCCCUCUUUCAAUAGUGAUUGACAUGGUCUCUUCCUCUUCCUCUGCCGUCUCUCUCAUCCGCUCAUCUUCGCCAUGUAACCCGCUUCUGCAGCUGCCUCGCAACUUGCUUCCGCUUCUACUGCGCCGCGCAACCCACUUCCCCGCCGUCGCGCAACCCGCUUCCCCGCCGCCGCACAACCCGCUUCCCCAGCUUUCUAUCAGAAUGUAAUUUCAAUUCGAAAACAGUUGGAACAUUUAAAAGAAUACAAAAAUAGGUUGGAGAGGAUUCUUGGUAAACAGAAGAUCAUAUGAAGAAUGCUAUAUUUUUCAGAAGUGCAGGGACAAAUGACUUUGUUAUUAAUUAUUUUACAUUGCCAAUACGAAGAAAGACAGAGGAUAAGUUAUUGUUUGGAACGGUGUAGAAUUGAAGGAAGUAAUUGGUAUCCAGAGGAAGAGAAAGAAGAGGACAUAGGAUAAGUUAUUGUUUUGCAGCAUGAAGCAGCAGCUACCUGGCGUUGAUGCUAAAUUGCAGAAGAUUACAGAGAAGAUAAGAGAAGAGAAGAGAAGAGAAGCAUUUCUGCUAGGGUUUUUCAUUCAAUUUCAUUCAGCGCCAUUCUCUCAUCCUCUUCCUCUACUGUAUCUCUUGUUCGCCAAUCCUCGCCGCCACAUCACGCUUCAGACGACGCCGCAACCUGCUUCCACCGCCGCCGCGCAAGACGCUGCCUCAACGCUUGGAGGUAUAUGAUGAGAAUGCUUCGUACAGUAGCAAUGAAGUGGUGUAAUAUGGUAUAGUAUUUUGGUUUAAGGUUGUGGAAUCCUUUAUUUCUGGUUUAAGAUGCUAGUUAGGAAUAUUUCAUGUAGAUUUAUUUACAAAGGCCAUGUGAAAUGCGAGAUUUAACUUGAGCAUUAGACCAUACAUUAGGUUCCAAAAAUUGACUCCCAUAGAAUUCAUUGUAAACAUUUUCUCCCUUCCCCCUUUCCUUUUUAAAUCCUGUUGUAAUUUCAAUUAAAAUUAUUCAAUAUGAUAUGGUUAAUUUUGAUCUUACCUGUAAUUGUGUGACAGUUCUGAUCUGAAAUUAGCAAUAGCCUUGCAACAACAGGAUAUCACUACAUUCCAAAUAUGUAUAAGCCACUGCCUUUUCACUUUCAUCUUUCUUUCUGGUUAAUUUUUAUGAAUCUAAGAUGAGUUUGUGUUGUGAAAUUGGAUUCUGAGUUUUCAGAUUCUAAGUUUUCAGAUGGCUUUAAGAUCAAGGAAUGCAGGACUGUCUACUAACAGCAAUAACGCAGAAUGGAUUGAACCAUGAUCUUUAGGGCAAUUGCUUUUAAUGCUAUAUCCUUCGGUGUGUCUUGUUGGAUUUAUCUUAAACUAGGCUAAUAUCUUUGGUCCUAUAUGAAGUAUUUGGUCAAGAAAACUACUCUUACCAACAUUUUUAAUUCUCCCAGUUGCCCUUACUAACAUUCAUCUUUCACGUUCAUGUCAUUUGGAGUUGGUUUUUACUUUUUACCAUUAAAAAAGGAAACCGGCAUUCCUUCUGAAACCAUCUACACUCACAUUUUCAACGUCUCUUUCCUAACUUUUUUUUGUAUGGAAUUUCUAAAAAAUAUUUUUAGGUGAGUACUAUUGUUACUUUUAGAACACUAAAAUAAAUAUAAUACAGAUCCUAGACAUGGAGUGCUUAUCAGUUUCUAGUAUUGAGUGGUGUUUGCAUCUCCCUGAUUAUUAUCAGUGCUGUUUUAAUUCAUCAUAUUCUAUGUGUAAUCGAUGUGGUGGUGAAUUAAAUUGACUUUCAGCAAGGAAAGAUUCGGACUGCGUCAAGCAGAGACUUGAUGGUCAGAGAACCGGGAUAAGGUAUACAAAAGGUACAAUGUUCAUAGUAGUGCAGUCAAGUCUUCCAACCAAGCAGGGGCACCGCAUAGGACAGAAGGUGCUGGUUCUAUUGAGGGACACCGCACAAGGAUUCUGUUUAAGAGCAAACUAUAAAAAAUAUUGGUUUUAUUUUAUAGUGUUAGUUUGAAUCACACUUUUGUUUCUUAUAAAGGUUGAUAAUGCUCCCGUGAAUCGCACUCUUCUGUCUAUCAUUUAAUUAUUUUUCCUUUAUAAUAUCCCAUUUUUGUAUGGAGGGAGGAGGAUCCGACUUGGAAGUGACAUGGAAGCAUUUUUUAUAUUCUUUCUUUUGCUUCUUUUCUUUUAACUUUUUCUAAUCCAAAUAUGUAUAGCAAGAGCCAUUUUACUGCGUGAUAAGAGCUAAACACGAGCUCAUCUCUCUUUUUUGGUUUUCAAUAAUUUUUGGUU